UGAUCAAGUUGAAAAAAGACAGAUUUUGCAGUUUCUUUUUAUUGCUGGUUAACUCCCUAUAGGGCUGGAAGAACAUUGUUGGGAAACUGAGAUCCCUGUGAGUCCAAACAGUAGGACAGAGGAAGAUAGAAGAGAAACAGAUUAGCAGAGAGGGGCCAGACAGCAGCUAGAUCUGGAUGUCUAACUUGAAGGCUUGUGUCGGCAAUAUCAUGGAACCAUAGAAUUUGAAAGGUUGGAAGGACCUCAGUUUCAUACAGCAAAGUACUGAAGAUAUACUUGUUGGAGUUGGUUUAGAGAUGGAAGGAACCCUUUGAGAUUCUAGUCUCCUUAUUGUACAGAUGAAGAAACUGAGCCUGAGAGUUUAAAGUGUGUGACCAAGAUUUAUGAAAUCGAAUUCAAAAAUAGACCCUAAUCCAAGGCAGGAAUGAUGGCUAAAGAUGCGAAAGGACAUCUGACCCUCAUCUGAUCCUAUAUUACUAGAGCUGUGAUGAACUGAAGAGAGAGCUGCGUUUUUCUUAUGAAGAACUUCCAAAGGUUUUUACUUUACUUUAUUGGCAAAGAUUAUAUAGGCAACACUUGAGCUUGUCUUGUUUAAUUGUAGAAUGAUAGUUGCUUUGUGGAGCUGAAGAGCAACAUCAAGGUUAUAACAGCUGGGAGAACAACAUUUGAAGCUGUUUACUGGUAGUAGCAAGUUGCUGUAUAGUCACCCCCAAAGAGUACAAAUUGCUGGCCAAGAUGAUAGCAGAGCAGCAGAAUUAUGGAGGUAUGCUUCAGGCAGAGAAAUGUGUCUAUAGGAUACUGUUAAGUGACUGGAAAUUUAAACUGAUCCUCAUUUGGAAUUAAUGAUAAUUAAUAAUUUAAAGAUUUGUGCUUCAUUUUCAUCAAAUCAAUAAAACAUUUUCUGAUAGAAUGGUGAAUGGCAUAAUUACAAUUUGGGGAGUCAGUCUCACUAUAUUUUAUGAUAUCAUGUAGAGAUUUUCCCAGGUUUCCUAGAAGUGGGAAACAUGAACAAACAAUAUAGAAUGUUGGAUUUUGAAUCAUCUGAUUUUCUAAAAUGAGGAGACUGAAAUAGGGUAUUUUUAAGAUUCCUUCCAGAUAUAAGAGCCUAUACUUUAGAUUUGGUCACAAACUUGCUAAGUAUUUAUCACACAUGUGAACUUGGGAACAUCAUUUUCCAUGCCAGAGGAUUAUCUAUCUUUCUGUUUACAUGGUGACCUGGCUCCCUUUGCCAGUGUGGUGAAAUAGAAGAACCCAUUCUUAGAACAAUGUUUUAAAUAUAUAAAAAAUAUUCACAGAACUUCAAAGGAAACAGAUUGUGUCAAAAUAUAAUAAUCAAGAUAAAAAAAAUUUAUAGACUACAGGUUAGAGACUUCUGGAGAUGCUCUCCAAGGUCCCGUUCACUCUGUUUUUACUUUAAGAAUUCCCCUAAGAUGUAUUCAAUCCUUUCCUAGUGUGAUACGCUAAUACCAGCUUUACACUCAUAAAUAUGUUUUUUUCUGCUGGGCUUAUUUUAGUACAUUCAUGAAUUAAUUAUUUUGAACACUCCUUUCAGUAAUACAGAUCACAGUUCAUCCAAGCUCUGCUCUUACCCUCCUAUAAAUCCUCUUCUUUGGAAGAGUUCAGUGAUUUGUAGGCCUUCCUUUAGGUCUUUGAGCAUUCACUCCAUUGGUGCCAAAGAAGUUCUCUGGCUGGCUGUUUGUUAUCCCUCAAUAUUGUUAGAUGAGUGACCAAUUUCCUUUCCAGAGAUAGCUGCAUGGUGCAGUGGACAGAGUGCUUGCUGGGCCUGGAAUCAGGGCCUGAAUUCAAAGGUGACCUCAAAUACUUGGACAAGCCCCUUAAUUUGUUUAUCUCAGUGUCCUCUACUGUAAAAUGGGAAUAAUAAUAGUGCUUACAUCUCUGAGUUGUUGAAAGGAACAAAAAAGAUAAUAUUAAUAAAGUACAUAGCAGAGUCUAACAUAAUAGAAGCAAAAUAGAUCCUAUUAUUAUUUUCAUUAUUGUAAUUUCAUGGAUGAUAUUUUAAGGGUGAUUUUUUUUGCAUAUGAGUCAUUAAUGGUUAAUAGGUUGUCCUUUAAUUAUGUGCCCCACAUGUCUCUCCAUUGCCCUUUGAGUCAUGGGUCGCUGAUUUUUCAGGGAUCAUUGUUUUUCAUGAUUUACCAACUAUCUAGAAUCUUUGGAAGACUAUUUGUAUUAAAGGAUGGAAUUUUGUGUCAGAGAUACACAAUUUCCCCACUAGAUCCCACCUUCCUAUUCUAUUCCUGUUCAACUCUAAGAUUAGUUCACUGUUCAUCUGAAGUUUCUGUCCAAGUGAUGGAUUUGGUCAGACCACCCCUUCUGGAUGGAGAGGGAAAAUAUAAAUAGACAGUUAGCAUGAUUGAUGAAUGUGCAUGAAGAUACUCAGAAGGAUUUCUAUUCCAAAGGCAUUCUACCAACCCUUUUGUUUAUGUUUUUUUCCCAAUCUCAUACUUGAAAGAUAGUGUGAUAUAGUGGAAGAAAUGCUUGAAAUUGGGUAAAAUCUUAACUAGAUAGAACUUACUAAACAUAGUAGUACUCAGUAAUGGAUACACACCUAGAUAUAGACAGAGACAGCCAGAGAGAAAGAGAGAAAGAGAGACAGAGACAGAGCCAGAGACAGAGAGAGGAGGUACUGGGCUAGAAUUUUAUCUGUUUGCCCUUUUAAAUAUAAUUAGAAUAUUAUUAGUUUAGGGGAUGUAGUGUUAAAAUUCAAGAUAUACUCCUAAUCACCAUUUCUUAUUGUCUAAAGGAAGGUUUGAAGCUUUUUAUCCAAGGCUUGACUCCUUUCCCACCAGAUACUAAUUGCAUAAUGAACACACAUAUCAGAUAGCAAAAAAAAAAAAAAAAAAAAAAAAAAA